GGAAAACUGACCCUGUUUUCAGAUUUGGCGCAAUUUUCGUUGGCCGGUGCAAAGAUUUGGGCCGGUGAUACAAGCGUUGACUGAAGAUAUUGUGGCAGGGAAAUCGAUGAACAACGUGCACAGAUCUCACUUUGAAAAGUCCACAGCAAUGACAGAAAUAUUUUUUGGAACCUGGUGGCGAAGUAUCGGAUGUCAAUAUGGCUGCAAUGUCCGGCGUAGAUGUAGGCAUGUUCACGGGUGCUUCGGCUCUAUAGAUCUGUUCUACAGGCGUCUGUUCAGUGUAUGGUGCCGGUCCUCGAGAAAUCAUUUGGUUGUAAGUGAGACUCUGCGCGUCAUUAUAGGUACUUUCAUUGAUGGAUGAACAAGCACUCAACUCGCUCAAUUUACUUUGGCGUGUAUGGAGCGGAGUUGAUGAAGCUUCCUAGGGUUGUAAAUAGCAUCCAAAUAACACCAAAUGCAUGAUCGUGGUACAACCAACAUGGAGGUAAAAGAGCAUUCAUCACAGAACCUGGCAAAGGAUUGCUUGGAACACGGAAAGAAUAUACCAACGGCUCGAUGUCGACGAUCUCCUUAUUUCUCUCUUUGCCUGAUUUUCUGAGACUGGCAAAAAUCGUUUGUACAAUGGAUUUUGAGUAAACAAGAAGCUUUACAAUCCAGGAAUCCGAAUCUGGUACUAAAUCAAUCGAUCUGUGGAAAUGAUCUGGUUAUCGCUUUUCAGUGAAACACAUCUGUUACUUCUCAUUCGGUUGGAUUUCCCUCCUUACAAUCGGUGGUAUUCAAGGGAUUGUCCUGGCGUCAGUCAAUUAUGUCCGAUAUUUGUAUAUCUUCGUCGUCAUCUCCAUUGUCAGAGUCCUCUUCAUCCGGAGGCGGAGUAACGAUGGUAC